rnacentral:piRNA from 1 species
UCCUCUUUCCAAUCAUUUUUACUAACUGCUU